GCUGAGAGUGAAUGAAGAGAGUGAGGUUAGGGGCGGACAACGAAGAUGGCAACAGCAAGUUGUAAUUCAAACAUGAACUGUAUAGCGCCAGGCUGUUUCAAUUGGCCCCCAAAAAUCCCUCUGUAAACUACCAUCGGCUUCCCAUGGACCUACAACUUUAGAAGAAGUGGCUCCAUGUCCUGAAAAGGAAGGACAUGCCAGCUUGACCUAGCAGGAUCUGCAGACAGCACUUUGCGGAGGCAGACUUCGCAAUGAAGGGCACUUUCGAUGAGGAAACUGGGAGUUUCCGAAUGGAAAGGAGUCAUAGGCCUACGUUGAAGCCCUCUGCUUGCGCCUCCAUUUGAAAUUGAGGGUUAUGGUGUAGGGGUUACCAACCGACCAUCAUGAACAUCACUGAUUUUUGGAGUCAAGCAAAAGCAACUGAAUGGAGGAGGCGACGAUGACAUCUUCAUCCCUGAAAAUGUUUUCAUCCUGGAGGAGACUGUGCAGAAGGCAGAGGAAAGAACAGUUAGUACAGCAUGCCAAACUGACUCCUGGGUGCCAGUGUUCCCGUGCUGCGGUGGAGAAGAGGUCCACCGGGACCAUCACUAAAGAGCUCAGGGCCCAGCUAGAUUGCUCUCACAACCAUCAGUAUACAACCGGGUCCUGCCCCUAUACGCCACAGAUGGAGCUGAAUGAGAGUGAGAUCUGUGAAGACCAUAACUCGCUGUAUGAACCUGAGAGCUCAGAAUCACAAUCAUCACAGUCCGAGCCAAGAUAUACUAUCAAUCACUUUGGGGGAGCAGGAUGUUGUUCCGAAAAUGGAGAAAGAGCAGGCCAUUCAACAGCGAAUUCAAAGAUACACCCAUCCAUAAAGGGAAUCGGAGUGGAAUUGUUUUAAUGCAGUUUUUUAAAACUCGUUUCAAUGGAUGUGCUACCUUGUCCCAGUUCUGCUGUUUCCAUUUUCUCUCUCUCUCAACCUAUGAAUGCUCAGCUACAAAAAGACAACUGACAUUUGCUCCUGAGGUGUUGAACUGUUGCACCCUCUAUAACCACAGUGGUUAUUAUUUUGAUGUAAAAAGGGCUUUUGUAAAAAUACAUUUGAUUGAUUGUUUGCUGUGCUGGAUGUUGUGUAUUCACUAACUCUCUGAGUGAUGGUCCAUUUUUAGUGUCUAACAUAUUUGUGUGUAUUUAAUCUCCAUCUUAACUUUUAAAGUGGCAAUCAGCAGUAGAAACAAUAAAGUGUCUCCCUGCUCCUCUUUCAGUAAAAAGCUGAGGGAUGGGGCUGGAGAAAUGUAACCACUCUCAAAUUCAUAGACCGAGAGAUAGAUGCAAGGACUGACCAUCCAUGAAAUCAAAAUUGUAAUCAUGUUUCUAUGAUCGUUUUCCACGACCAUGUACCCAGUUCGCUUUGGAUAAAGGCGUCUGCUAAAUGGCAUAUAUUAUUAAAGUCUACUUUGACUCUGCCAACUAGCUGCCCAGUGGUUACCAUUCCUUUCCAAUAGAUGGCAGCCAAAGCUAGUUCGAGUCACUACUCUAGCACAGGGACAUGGGAUUAAUGCUCACUGAAAGUAGUUUUAUUUUUUAUUGAACAUUUAUUUAACUAGGCAAGUCAGUUAAGAACAAAUUCUGGACGGUGAGAGUUACUCUGCGCAAACCUCCACCCUCCAAAAAACCCAACAUGAACUCUGACAUUGUGGCUACCUUCUCCUUACUCAUCAACUCCAGGUCUGACGCCAUUGAGAAAAUGGUAGGCGCGAACACCAUGGUUAUCGAAGGCUUGAAAAAGACUGGAGUUUGCAUAUGGUGAAAUCAAGGACGUGAAAAGGAGUGGCAGAAGUUGAAAAAAUAAGUUGUGGAAAAGAAUAACAAUGUCUACCAUAGACGUCUCACUGAUCUGGAACAAUACACAAGAAGAGCCUGAGACUCUACGGCGUGCCAGAGAUGGAGAAUGGGGAUGUGCGACGAGAGGCUAUCCGCAUCUGCCAAGAAGUUAUGCCUGCAGAGACUAACAAAGUUGGUGAUACCAUUAAUGUUGCGCAUCGCCUCAGCAAGAAGCAACAGCAAAACGAUUCAAGACCAAGCGAUAUCAUCAUCUUCACUGCCAGAUUCUACAGGGAUGCUGUCUGGAAAGCUGCUAGGAAGAACACCUUCCUUCAGAGCCGUGUGGCAGGGCUGAAAUGCAGUGGAAAUGUUUUUGGGGGAUUCAGUUCAUUUGCAUGGCAAAGAGGGACUUUGCAAUUAAUUGCAAUUCAUCUGAUAACUGUUCAUAACAUAACAUCAUAUACUGUUAUAACAUCAUAACAGUUUAUGCAAAUUGCCAUCAUACAAACUGAGGCAUCAGACUUUGUGAAAAUUCAUAUUUGUGUCAUUCUCAAAACUUUUGUCCACGACUGUAUACCUUAGCCGCGCUUCCCUUCCUUCCUUUUUCUACAACCGUAUUUAAUGUUUAUUUAUUUUCCCUUUUGUACUUGAACUAUUUGUACAUUGUUAUAGCACUGUACAUAGCAAUAAUAUGACAUUUCAAAUGUCUCUAUUCCUUUGAAACUUUUGUGAGUGUAAUGUUGACUGAUCAUUUUUGAUUGUUUGUUUAUUAUCUAUUUAACUUACUUUGGCAAUGUAAACAUACACUACAUGAACAAAAGUAAGUGGACACCUUCUCGUAGAACAUUUAAUUCCAAAUUCAUGGGCAUUAAAAUUGAGUUUGUCCCCCCCUU